CCUACGGGGAGCUGCAGUGGGGAAUAUUGGACAAUGGGCGAAAGCCUGAUCCAGCCAUGCCGCGUGUGUGAAGAAGGCCUUCGGGUUGUAAAGCACUUUCAGUGGGGAAGAAAGCCUUGGGGCUAAUACCCUCGAGGAAGGACAUCACCCACAGAAGAAGCACCGGCUAACUCCGUGCCAGCAGCCGCGGUAAUACGGAGGGUGCGAGCGUUAAUCGGAAUUACUGGGCGUAAAGCGCGCGUAGGCGGUCUGAUAAGCCGGUUGUGAAAGCCCCGGGCUCAACCUGGGAACGGCAUCCGGAACUGUCAGGCUAGAGUGCAGGAGAGGAAGGUAGAAUUCCCGGUGUAGCGGUGAAAUGCGUAGAGAUCGGGAGGAAUACCAGUGGCGAAGGCGGCCUUCUGGACUGACACUGACGCUGAGGUGCGAAAGCGUGGGUAGCAAACAGGAUUAGAUACCCCGGUAGUC
rnacentral:rRNA from 1 species